rnacentral:rRNA from 1 species
AGUUUGAUCCUGGCUCAGAUUGAACGCUGGCGGCAUGCUUUACACAUGCAAGUCGAACGGGGUGGAGGGCAACUUCCAUUCAGUGGCGAACGGGUGAGUAAUACAUCGGAACGUACCUCGUAGUGGGGGAUAACUCGGCGAAAGCCGUGCUAAUACCGCAUAUGCUCUACGGAGGAAAGCAGGGGACCGCAAGGCCUUGUGCUAUGGGAGCGGCCGAUGUCCGAUUAGCUUGUUGGUGGGGUAAUGGCUCACCAAGGCGACGAUCGGUAGCUGGUCUGAGAGGAUGAUCAGCCACACUGGGACUGAGACACGGCCCAGACUCCUACGGGAGGCAGCAGUGGGGAAUUUUGGACAAUGGGGGCAACCCUGAUCCAGCCAUGCCGCGUGCGGGAAGAAGGCCUUCGGGUUGUAAACCGCUUUUGGUCGGGAAGAAAAGGCGUCGGUUAAUACCUGGCGUUCUUGACGGUACCGGCAGAAUAAGCACCGGCUAACUACGUGCCAGCAGCCGCGGUAAUACGUAGGGUCCAAGCGUUAAUCGGAAUUACUGGGCGUAAAGCGUGCGUAGGCGGUUUCGCAAGUCCGAUGUGAAAUCCCCGGGCUUAACCUGGGAACUGCGUUGGAAACUACGAAGCUAGAGUGCGGCA